UUUAAGGUUCGAUAAGGAAGAGAUGCUGUGGUAGUAAAAUGGAAGCCACUCUUGAAUCUUUAUUUUGUUUACACUUUCCAUAUGAAUAUUAUAAUUACCCUUUUAUAUAUCACAGGAACAUAGCAUCCUUCAGGUGGAAAAUAAUUGUCUGUCAACUGGGACACAACGUGCAAGCAGACUCAAAGAUUUGUCUUUUGGCCGAAAGUUCGGGAAUGAAGCGGACUUUAAAAACGUUUGGGGCUCUGCCAAGCACGAUCUUGGCUCUCCAAUUAUUUUGAUGCCGCUUAGAAAUUAUAGGAUAUUGGAUGAUUGGUUCUCUCAUGAGUUUUCUGCCCAUUAUUCAACUUUAAUAUUAACAACCAACUGAUAUCGAUGAAAAACCGCAAAUCUUUGAAAGAACAAAUACUACCUUAUGAAUUAUUACAAAACCAAUAUGAGAAACACGGACUUAAAAUAGACUCACCCACACAUCUGUAGAAACAAUGGCUUGGAAUAGCGUCGAGGGACUUUUGAAAAAUCGUACAUAUUUUUGUUCAAGUAUUUCCAGUAAACAGCCACAAAAACAACACUUUUCGUUUAGCCUUAUCAAUUCAACACUUCUGGAUACACCAUCGGAAUGUGGCCGCCACUUGCAGCCGGCAAUUGCCAACAAUUGCCAGUUGCGAGACAUCAUAUGGAAAACUUCCAUGCCCCGAAGGGAUGAUGACAAAUAAGGAUGAGUUUACUAGCAUAUUACUCUCUUUCUCGCUUUCCUUCCGCUGAUUUAAGAUCCAUCUAGUGGAAUCACUUGCAACGCCAAGAGGGCAAGAAAAUAAAUAAGAGGUUGCAUCUUGCUUCGCAGUGCAAUGAGUACAUACCCUUAAUUGGUCUCUCAAAGGGAAACGGCGCUGCGGAUGACUAUAGAAGAUUUAUGCAGCUGAAAUGCGAAUGGAUCGGACUAUAUUGGUGUUUAUAAUUGCAGUCCCGAAACCGGAUUUCAUUAUUUUGGACAAUAUUAAAGUUAAGUCAUCAUUAGAAAAUGCAAUCAACACUCCCCAGAAGAUAUUAGAACCUUAUCUCUGUAUGUAGGGGAUCUAUCUUUUAUAGUAGUUGAUACCAAAUAUUCUUAUUCAGCCUCCUCGCAC
rnacentral:sRNA from 1 species